rnacentral:lncRNA from 1 species
UGGAUAUUUCUAGGAAACCGAUUCGAUUAAGUCAUUUUUAGGAAAAGUGAUUAAUUUUGGAAAAUACUUUCAUUGCGGAAGCUUUCCUUGUUGUCGUGUUAUUUUGAAAUCAACUGUUGUUUUUGAAAACGCGCCCUAAAGCUAUCCAAUUUCAACAGUUAAAAUAAGUAUUACCUAUCUUAGUAAUACAUAUUAAAAACCAUCAAAAAUAAAUAAGCGGCCUUAUUACAUUUAAAAGCCCAAAACCUCAAACGUAAUUAAAAGGAUGUCCAGUUCACCAGAAGAAAAUCAAACUUUCAGAAUGGGUGGCCACUCCGAAUUCCCUCACAGCUCCAAGCCCACUAUGGUUGGGGAUUUCCUGCGUGGAU